AGCAGUAGCCGCGGAAAUACGGAGGGGGCUAGCGUUGUUCGGAAUUACUGGGCGUAAAGCGCACGUAGGCGGCUUUACAAGUCAGAGGUGAAAGCCUGGUGCUCAACACCAGAAUUGCCUUUGAGACUGUAUCGCUUGAACGUCGGAGAGGUGAGUGGAAUUCCGAGUGUAGAGGUGAAAUUCGUAGAUAUUCGGAAGAACACCAGUGGCGAAGGCGGCUCACUGGACGACUGUUGACGCUGAGGUGCGAAAGCGUGGGGAGCAAACAGGAUUAGAUACCCGAGUAGUCCCUGUCUCUUAUAC
rnacentral:rRNA from 1 species